CGAGUGGCGAUGAUAUUCGGCCAGCUCUUUCAAGAGCCUGUCCCACUCCUUGGAUCCUUCUAAGUUCGUGCCCUGGAAGAAUUACAAGUUCUUCAGGAACACUCUGCACCUGAAUCCCAUAAUUCCCAUUAGAGUCAUCUUGAAAGUCAUCCUGAACCUGAAUCCCAUCAUCUUGAAACUGCACCCCAGAAUCCUCAUCAGAGUCACACAAAGGCUGAGCCACAACACAUGUAAGUCAAGAGAGGUAAGAUAAUAUCAUACCAAAAACGUUAACAUACAAAUGGGAUGAUGAUGGCAAUGCUUCUCCUCUUCAGCUUCCACAUUAACCUCUGUGAUCAAAACACCCAUUUUGGUAAAAAAAAUGUAUCUCACCAGGUUCUUCUUCGGUCUGGAUGAUUCCCAGAAGCAAGUGAUCAUGUGGAUCUCCUCGGCCAUUAAGGACAGCUCAAGGUGCAACAUUUCACUGCCGUGUUUCUCUAAGACGAUCCUAACCGAACAAAAACCACACCAAUAUCAUGUAAA